UACAAUGGAGUCGGAGUGGCGUAAUUUGCCCGUAAAAUUCAACAAAUCCGUCCUAAAAUCACUCAGGCAAUUAAGAUUCCAGCACGCAACCCCUGUUCAAGCAUCAUGUAUUCCGUUGUUUAUGAAGAACAAAGAUGUAGCAGCAGAGGCUGUGACAGGUAGUGGCAAGACGUUGGCGUUUCUCAUUCCGAUAAUAGAAAUACUACUGAGGAGAGAAGAGAAACUUAGAAAAUGUGAUAUCGGGGCAAUCAUAAUAGCCCCAACUCGAGAACUAGCCAACCAGAUUGAUGAGGUUUUGACAAACUUCUUGAUAAAUGUUCCGGAGUUCACCAAGCUACUCUUCAUUGGAGGGAACUCUCCUCAGUCUGACAUAGAUGCAUUCAAAAGCAAAGGCGGUCAUAUCAUCACGGCUACACCUGGUAGAUUGGAAGAUCUGUUCAGUAGAGUGUCCCCUGGUUUCAACUUGGCUGCCAGUGCUAAAGCUAUGGAAGUCCUGGUCUUGGACGAAGCUGAUCAAUUACUCGACAUGGGGUUCGAAAAGAGCCUCAACAUGAUCUUCAGUUACCUCCCAAAACAGAGGCGAACUGGCCUUUUUUCUGCCACACAAACACAAGAAGUGGAGGCACUGAUUCGGGCCGGUUUGAGAAAUCCUGUGAGAAUUUCAGUGAAGGAGAAAAACCAGCCAGCUGUCGUAGAACAGAGAACACCAUCAUCGUUAAACAAUUACUAUCAAAUUUGCGAAGCCGACCAAAAGUUUAAUCAGCUUGUUUAUUUCCUUCGAUCGCAUCCAAAAGAGAAACACAUGAUCUUCUUCCGGACGUGUGCAUGCGUGGAUUACUUUGCUGUGGUUCUGACUCGGUUAUUGCAGCAGACAGAAAUUCUAUGUAUACAUCGGAAAAUGAAGGAUAAGAGGAACAAAGUCUUCAGCAAAUUCAAGAAAAAAACAAGGGGUGUUCUAGUAUGUACAGACGUUAUGGCCCGUGGAAUCGACAUACCCCAGGUUCACUGGGUCAUACAGUACGAUCCACCUAGUUCAGCGAGCGCCUUCGUUCACCGGUGUGGAAGGACUGCCAGGAUCGGUAACGAGGGAAGCGCUCUCGUCUUUUUGUUGCCGACGGAAGAUACCUAUGUGGAAUUUAUCAAGAUUAACCAGAAGGUGCCAUUGCAAGAGUAUAGUGUUGAAGAAGAGGUGCCAAAUGUUCUACCAAAUGUUCAAGAAAUUGCUGUGAAGGACCGUGAUGUCUUUCAGAAGGGCACCAAGGCAUUUGUGUCGUUUAUACAAGCUUACUCCAAACACGAAUGCUAUUUGAUAUUCCGAUCUAAAGAUUUGGACUUCCCUAAACUUGCCAAAGGGUUUGGUUUGAUGAGGCUGCCAAAAAUGCCAGAGCUGAAGGGCAAAAGGUUACCAGAAUUCGAUGAGAAGUACAGGGGAUUUGACUUCAAUAGUAUACCAUUCAGGGACAAAGGGAGAGAAAAGCAACGACAGAUAGAGCUGAAGAAAUUCCAAGAGGGAAAGGUGCAACGGAGGGAGAAGUUUAAUAAGAAAAAGGCCCAAACCGUGCCCUGGUCAGACCAAAAACAGAGGAAAGAGAAACGAAAGAAGAGGAAGGAGGUGAAAGAGUUGAAGGCACAGAAGAGGAAAGUUGAGGAGUUUGAUGAGGGGGAGCUCGACGAUUUAGCUGCUGAUGUCCGCCUGAUGAAAAAACUAAAGCAAGGCAAGAUAUCGAAAGAAGAAUUUGAUGAGGAGUUUGACGAUGGCAGUGAUGUGGACGAAACGAAAACUUGAUAGGGACUAUUACAAUUCGCAUGGAACUCGUACAUAUUUCACUUUGAUCCUAGUGAUUUGCUUCACUGAACUUCCUCUGACAAUGGCAGUGAUAGUAAAGGAGCAUUGGCUUAUCAAAGGGACUAUCUAUAUUCUGGUUGAUGGAAAUCGCAUAAGGGAACUCACAGAAGAGAGACUUGUAACAAUCUAACCUUGACUGACAAGAGCUCCCGAUCACCAAACAGGCUUCAUAUCUACAUGGGUCAACUUGGAUCUAAAUGAUGACAAUCUAAUGAAUAUCCACAUAACGACACAUAACUGCUAUUGGAGGAAUUUGUCUUGGAACGGAGCAAAUGACUUUUGUUUGAGGACAGUCUUCUGCAUCAAUCUGCCAUGCCUCUAAAAAAUUACCCUGUUCCUGAUGCUGGUGUAAGUUUGUGCAGAACAUUUUCUCAUGAGGUAUCCUGUCCACUCUCUUUCCAACUUCUGUUUCACAGGUUAGAAGGUUCUGCGAUGACAAAUAGAGUGGACAAGCUCUGAAAAAGAACCUACUUCUUGCUAGAUGUAAAGCAGUAGAGAUGACAGCCAUGAUGUGUGGACAAGUACAAAGACAUCUCCUGAGGAAACCUGAAGGAUGUGACCAGAGGUCCAUCAGCGAGUCACCUUAUCUCUUUUCAUGUGACAGACCCGAGGUAUUCAAAUCAGACACAGAUCCAGAUGCCCCCCCCCCCCACUUCAUGAAAAUCUUUGAAUUUGGCCCUGAAAUUUUGGAACACAUCAGACAUUUUAAUGAGAAAUGUAGUGCAUGCCCAUUCUUUUUCUGGGUCCUGUGGAUCUGCCCCUGCAACAGAUAGAUCUCAAAGGAAAGACACACAAGAAUUUGUCCCCAACUCCGCCAGCCCAGGAAUAGAAGAGGAAUGUUUGAAUAUGUUGAGCAAAUUUGUCCUCAGAUCAGAUUUCCAACCCCAGCUGUCACGUUGUGUGCUCCUUAAAUUACAAUUGCCACUCAGCAGUCUCAUCAAUGAUAGGUGUCAUUUUGCAAGAUUUUGAUGCCCACUUUGGACAAUAUGGGGAUCAUCUCUUUCAGCUUGGUAUUCCUGUGCAAGUUAUUUUUGACGGGGAAUAUCGAAUUGAGCUUGCGGAAUGUGUUACAGAUUAGAUUAACCAGCCGACAGCAACAAGUCCUAAUCCGAUGACAGUGUAUAAAAGAAUGCUCUUACCCUUAUUUAGUAUCUUGCUAUAAGAUGUCGCAUCUUUAUCUUUGUAAAAUUGGUCUGUAUUCAGAUGCGGAUCCAGGAAUCUUUGUUAGAGUGUGUUUAUAUCUAUUUUAGAAAAAUUCAUAGUCAAUUCCAAAAGAAUUUUCAGAAAUUAAAAUGUGCCGCUCCUGGAUUUGUGCCUGUUGUAGGCAGGUUUCCGUCCAAAAAUGUCAAGGUACUGAGUAGCAUGAGAUGGACACAGAUAUUGCUUAUUGAAAAUAGAUGAUUCUGAUUACGAUAUCAGAAAAUAUCUGAAUAAGUUGCAAAGAGUUGCCCUUUAGUCUCCUAGCUUCUGCCAGUAAAAGAUACAAGAAAAAUGAAAAAAGGCAGGCAUGAUUCAAUCCCUGCACUUUUGUUGGCAGGAUCGCAAACUUAGUGCAUUUGAUUAACAUGCGCUACUUUGUUAUGCCCUGGGAGAGUGCUAACGGUUUUCACCUGGAGCCCACUUGCUGAAUGUUAAACAUGCUGCAGCAGACUAAUUUGUUUACUUUGGACAUUUCGUGGAAUUUGUACAAAAAUCAGGUGCGUCUGGCUAAUAACUCAGGGUCUUAAGGAUCACCUGUAAGGUGGUAAAGAAUUUUAGCCUGAUCUAAGGAUGAUUUAACGACCUACACUGUUUGGUUUCACUCUAAUUUUAUUGUGGUUCUGAUAAAUAGGAAAAAAAAUGUUGUUAUUAUGCAUGCAAAUUUGCUGAAACUUGGCAUUUAAGAUAUCAAUUUACAUUUUUGACACUAGCCUUCAGUCCGUUCCAAUUUACACAAUUGAAAACUUUCAAUUUAAAAUUUCAUUUAAAAAAAUAAUUUAAUAGACAGAGAAAGCCUUUAAAGGCAAUGAAGGUAAAAAUAUGAUACACUUUAAUACUGUACGAUUUUAUAUGCAUGUACAUGUACAUCUAUGGGAAAGAUAUCUUUCUUAUGUGAGUUCCUUUAUGCUAAUGUUCAGAUGUUCAUAAUA